rnacentral:rRNA from 1 species
CGGGACGGGUGAGUAAUGUCUGGGAAACUGCCUGAUGGAGGGGGGUAACUACUGGAAACGGUAGCUAAUACCGCAUAACGUCGCGAGACCAAAGAGGGGGACCUUAGGGCCUCUUGCCAUCGGAUGUGCCCAGAUGGGAUUAGCUAGUAGGUGGGGUAACGGCUCACCUAGGCGACGAUCCCUAGCUGGUCUGAGAGGAUGACCAGCCACACUGGAACUGAGACACGGUCCAG